rnacentral:tRNA from 1 species
GCAGUUGUGGCGGAAUGGCAGACGCGCUAGAUUCAGGUUCUAGUGAGGUUAAACUCGUGUGGGUUCAAGUCCCAUCAACUGCA